AGCAGCCGCGGUAAUUCCAGCUCCAAUAGCGUAUAUUAAAGUUGUUGCAGUUAAAAAGCUCGUAGUUGAAUUUCGGGAUCGAAUUGUUGGUCGUGCUUCGGUACGCACUGGCAUUAUCGGUUUCUACCUUCUGAAGAACCGCGAUGUCAUUAAUUUGGUGUCGUGGGGAAUCAGGACUGUUACUUUGAAAAAAUUAGAGUGUUUAAAGCAGGCUUACGCUUGAAUACAUUAGCAUGGAAUAAUGAAAUAGGACGUUUGAUUCUAUUUUGUUGGUUUCUAGGAUCGACGUAAUGAUUAAUAGGGAUAGUUGGGGGCAUUAGUAUUCAAUUGUCAGAGGUGAAAUUCUUGGAUUUAUUGAAGACUAACUACUGCGAAAGCAUUUGCCAAGGAUGUUUUCAUUAAUCAAGAACGAAAGUUAGGGGAUCGAAGACGAUCAGAUACCGUCGUAAUCUUAACCAUAAACUAUGCCGACUAGGGAUCGGAUGAUGUUAAUUUUAUAAUGACUC
rnacentral:rRNA from 1 species